GCUUUACACAUGCAAGUCGAACGGCAGCACGGGGGCAACCCUGGUGGCGAGUGGCGAACGGGUGAGUAAUACAUCGGAACGUGCCCAGUCGUGGGGGAUAACGUAGCGAAAGUUACGCUAAUACCGCAUACGAUCUACGGAUGAAAGCGGGGGAUCGCAAGACCUCGCGCGAUUGGAGCGGCCGAUGUCAGAUUAGGUUGUUGGUGAGGUAAAGGCUCACCAAGCCGACGAUCUGUAGCUGGUCUGAGAGGACGACCAGCCACACUGGGACUGAGACACGGCCCAGACUCCUACGGGAGGCAGCAGUGGGGAAUUUUGGACAAUGGACGAAAGUCUGAUCCAGCCAUUCCGCGUGCAGGACGAAGGCCUUCGGGUUGUAAACUGCUUUUGUACGGAACGAAAAAGCCUUGGCUAAUACCCAGGGUCCAUGACGGUACCGUAAGAAUAAGCACCGGCUAACUACGUGCCAGCAGCCGCGGUAAUACGUAGGGUGCGAGCGUUAAUCGGAAUUACUGGGCGUAAAGCGUGCGCAGGCGGUUUUGUAAGACAGAGGUGAAAUCCCCGGGCUCAACCUGGGAACUGCCUUUGUGACUGCAAGGCUAGAGUGCGGCAGAGGGGGAUGGAAUUCCGCGUGUAGCAGUGAAAUGCGUAGAUAUGCGGAGGAACACCGAUGGCGAAGGCA
rnacentral:rRNA from 1 species